ACCUCCAAUCAGUCAAGAUUACCCGCUGAAUUUAAGCAUAUAACUAAGCGGAGGAAAAGAAACUAACCAGGAUUCCCUCAGUAACGGCGAGUGAAGCGGGAAUAGCUCAGACUGAAAAUCUUCGGAAUUGUAGUCUGGAGAAGCGAAGUCAGCGAAGUCCACCGGCAAAGUCUUCUGGAACGGAGCGCCAAGGAGGGUGAUAGCCCCGUCUAUGCCAGGUGGGUGGAGCGUACGACUCGCUUUCUACGAGUCGAGUUGUUUGGGAUUGCAGCUCUAAGCGGGUGGUAAAUUCCAUCUAAAGCUAAAUAUUGGUGGGAGACCGAUAGCGAACAAGUACCGUGAGGGAAAGAUGAAAAGAACUUUGAAAAAAGAGUUAAACAGUACCUGAAAUUGCUGAAAUGGAA
rnacentral:rRNA from 15 species